rnacentral:piRNA from 1 species
UGCCAAAGUGUUGAGGGGACCGC